UAUCUAUAACUCAUAAUACAAAGGUGAUACAAACAUAUAAAUGAGAUUAUCAUAUCUGGCAAAUUGUAACAUUUUUGCAGAUAUCUUACAUGGCAUAUCUGGCAUAACUCAUUGCAAUGUUACAAUAUUGGUAUUCAUAAUAUCCUAAAGUGUCCCCCAGAUUCCAUACAGCAUCUCAGGGAGAGACACGCUGUCCCUGGUAGGGAGGGGGAGCC